rnacentral:rRNA from 1 species
UACGGGGGGGGGCAAGCGUUGUUCGGAAUUACUGGGCGUAAAGGGCGCGUAGGCGGCCAUCUAAGUCAGACGUGAAAUCCCUCGGCUCAACCGAGGAACUGCGUCUGAUACUGGAAGGCUUGAAUCCGGGAGAGGGAUGUGGAAUUCCAGGUGUAGCGGUGAAAUGCGUAGAUAUCUGGAGGAACACCGGGUGGCGAAGGCGGCAUCCUGGACCGGUAUUGACGCUGAGGCGGCGAAAGCUAGGGGAGCAAACGGG